rnacentral:rRNA from 1 species
AACGAACGCUGGCGGCAUGCCUAACACAUGCAAGUCGAACGAUGCUUUCGGGCAUAGUGGCGCACGGGUGCGUAACGCGUGGGAAUCUGCCCUUGGGUUCGGAAUAACAGUUAGAAAUGACUGCUAAUACCGGAUGAUGUCUUCGGACCAAAGAUUUAUCGCCCAGGGAUGAGCCCGCGUAGGAUUAGGUAGUUGGUGGGGUAAUGGCCUACCAAGCCGACGAUCCUUAGCUGGUCUGAGAGGAUGAUCAGCCACACUGGGACUGAGACACGGCCCAGACUCCUACGGGAGACAGCAGUGGGGAAUAUUGGACAAUGGGCGCAAGCCUGAUCCAGCAAUGCCGCGUGAGUGAUGAAGGCCUUAGGGUUGUAAAGCUCUUUUACCAGGGAUGAUAAUGACAGUACCUGGAGAAUAAGCUCCGGCUAACUCCGUGCCAGCCGCCGCAGUAA